rnacentral:rRNA from 1 species
CAAUAGCGUAUAUUAAAGUUGUUGCAGUUAAAAAGCUCGUAGUUGGAUUUCUGGUAGGAGUGACCGUUCCGAACUUGAUUGUUCGUGUAUUGUGUUUUCUCCAGCCAUCCUUGUGGAGAACUUUUCUUGCAUUAAUUUGUAGGGAUUGGGACCCGCAUCGUUUACUGUGAAAAAAUUAGAGUGUUUAAAGCAGGCAAUCGCUUGAAUACAUUAGCAUGGAAUAAUAAGAUAGGACUUUGGUACUAUUUUGUUGGUUUGCAUACCAAAUUAAUGAUCAACAGGAACAGUUUGAGGAUAUUCGUAUGAACAUGUCAGAGGUGAAAUUCUUGGAUUUUGAUGAGACGAACUACUGCGAAAGCAUUUAUCAAGGAUGUUUUCAUUAA